AUUGAAAAAUUGCGUUUAUUUAAGAAACUUUUUUUAUUUUUAAAGUAAUGAAAUUAAGUAAAACAUAUAAAUACUUUUAUAUGUUUAUUGUAUAUUGUAUGGCUUAAAGAUGAGUCUGUUUAUUAUUGCGUUUGUAGACUCAAAGGAAAUCGAGCAAAAAAAUAUCCUAUUUAACUCAACACCCAACUUCAUUUUCCGCUCUAAAUAUACCAACAUGAGAAUUUAUUCGAAAACGCUGAAAGAAAUUUAUUAUUUCGAGAUUCUUAUCUCGUAUAUAAAUAGAUCAAGGAAUAAAGAUUACAAUUGUUUUAAAAUAUUAUCGUAAAUAUUUACGAGAAGAAUAAAAAAAAAAUUAAUAGAUCAAUUAAAAAAAAAAACAAUAAAAUUGAAAAAUCUAGAGAUUAUUUCGACGAAUACUAUAAAAAAAAAAAAAAAAGAAUCGAACGAACUCUUAAAUUAUCUCUAUAAAAAAAACAUUAUAGAGCUCAUUAAGUGAAAUUUAAACGGAAGAAAAAAUUCAUCAACGUCGAAACAUACGUAUCCACAUGUAUCUUGAAGAACAAAUAAGGAGAGGAAAUUAACGACGAUGGUCCACUGUUCAAUUCGAAAGUAACCGAAUUGUUUUCACGAAGAAAGUCGAUCGUGUAUUCCGUGUGCAUCUGACUCAAGUACAACCCAAUCCGUAUAUACACGUACUUACACGUGCUAAAAACGCAGGGAACGUUGCUUUCGCAACCAAUUUUCUAGCGUGUUAAAUUGUAACGCUUACGUAAUCCUAACCUCACCAUCCUGUGGAUGCAACGAGGAAACUAAAUUUCGUGGAAACUACGUCAACGGAGUAUCUACGCGUGAUUUUAAUUUUAACUUCAUUCCAUUCGGAAUCAAUUUUCCUUUAAAUAGUGGCAAAAUGAUAGAAAAAGAAUCGAUAUAAGGAUAGUGAAUAGGCGUGGAAAUUAAAUUCCAUUAUAUAGAAUAUACGUAUUUAAUAAAUGUAUUACUUUCAGAAUUA